rnacentral:rRNA from 1 species
UACGUAGGGACCGAGCGUUGUCCGGAAUCAUUGGGCGUAAAGAGCGUGUAGGCGGCCUUUUAAGUCCUGCGUGAAAUCCUGCGGCUCAACCGCAGACGGUCGUGGGAAACUGGAAGGCUAGAGUGCGGGAGAGGAGAGUGGAAUUCCCGGUGUAGCGGUGAAAUGCGCAGAUAUCGGGAAGAACACCCGUGGCGAAGGCGGCUCUCUGGAACGCAACUGACGCUGAGACGCGAAAGCGGUGGGGAGCAAACAGGG